UCACAGAAAUAAGAAUGAAUAGAAUGGGCUUGGAACUCUAACCCUGGAUAUUGACUGGUAAACUCAUGGGUACACUCCCAAUGGCUGCCUGGUAUUGUGACGCAAUAAUUUCAAUGGUAUUUUGGAAUUUCUAUUCAUUCUUAUUUCUAAGCCAGUUUAAUAUUCAGUAGCAUUCAAGCUUUAGCAACCUCAGACGAAGUACGAUAUUUUACCGGCUCAUUACGGAGACCGAAGUAGGCCUAGACUUGUAACAUGGACGGCGACGAGGCUCGAAAAGUAAGUCAAUUUCUAUCGCUAUAGGCCUAGCCUUGAAAUUAUUGUCUGUAGACAGUUUUUGUAUUGAUUAGACUGAAAAAUGUAUGGAAAAGGAUGCAUGUCUGGGGUUAUGUGUAAAUCCCCUGCUCCCAAAAAGGCUCUUACAUAUUCAUUUUUAUUUACAAAUACAAAAAAAAUUGCAUGGAUGGACAUUGACAGGAAUAAAACCUAGUAUUGACGUGGUUGUACUGUCCUAAUACACCCUCACAUGGCAAUUUUGAUCCGCAUAGAUACUAAUCAUCUAGACCACAGGGAUUGGUGGAAGUCAUGCAAAACAGUUUUUUCCGCCUUCAUGUAAAGAUGGCACUGAAGCAGACACAUUGAGCACACGUUUGACAUGUCAAAGCUUGUUGUACUAAUUACAUAUGCCACCAACAAAGGGGAUGGAUACAAUUUGGGAUUUUAACUUUCCUGACCAGGACAGUCACGCAAUACUGGAAUAUAAAAGAAAACCAGAAACCCUGAACAUGGGUUACAGGAAGCCCCAGAGAGGACAUUCCCUGUAUUCUUCAGAGGAAAACUGGGGGAGAAGCUCCAUCAGGAGACCCCAGGGUUUGACCUGUUGGACCCCAACAUGAGAGUCAUAGAUGUUGGUUAUAACUGCCUCCACGACAAACACCUGAAGUGUUUUUUCCGCCAUCCGGAAAGGAAGAAGCGGCUGGUGAAGCAAGGCCUCAUCACCUCAAAUGAGAAGGCAUGGCAA